CUCAGGCACCAUAGAACCCAGCUCCGUAAGUGUGAAUGUCCAGAUCCUGAUCCGAAAUCUAACGUGUUAGUUCAAAACCAAACAGCUGGGCAUGUCCUACACACAGUGCUCUCCAAAACAGUGCCACCAACUUGAAUAUUCCCACUUACUUACACAACUACAAGUCCAUCCCUGUAAAGCCACAUAGGGCACCACUCUCCAGUAAUCGAGACGCCAGCUCCCUAAGCGUGAAUGUCCAGAUCCUGCUCCUAAGCCUCAUGUGUUAGCACAGUAACAAAUAUCUGGACAUGUUAUAAACAGGGUGUCCUGCGGAACAGUGCCAACAACAUGGAUAUCCUCACUUACUUCCGCACCUAAAAUCCUGUAAAGCCUCACUGGACACCACAUUCCGGUGACCAAGACACCAGCUCCCUAAGUGCCAAUGUCCAGAACCUGCUCCUAAGCCUAAUGUCUUAGGACAGAAACCAGGAGCUGGACAUGUCCAACAUAUGGCGCCUUCCAGAACAGCCCCUCCAACAUGAAUAUUCUCACUUACUUACGCAUUUAAAACUCCAUCUCUCUAAAGCCUCACUGGGCACCACUCUCUGGUGACCAAGACACCAGCUCCCUAAGGGCAAAUGUCCAGACCCUGCUUCUGAGCCUAAUGUCUUAGGACAGAAAC